UACGUAGGGGGCAAGCGUUGUCCGGAAUCAUUGGGCGUAAAGCACGUGUAGGCGGCUCGAUAAGUCUGCUGUGAAAGUUCAGGGCUCAACCCUGAAAUGCCGGUGGAAACUGUCGGGCUAGAGUCCGGAAGAGGCGAGUGGAAUUCCUGGUGUAGCGGUGAAAUGCGCAGAUAUCAGGAGGAACACCAAUGGCGAAGGCAGCUCGCUGGGACGGUACUGACGCUGAGACGCGAAAGCGUGGGGAGCAAACAGG
rnacentral:rRNA from 1 species